AGCCCAUGAAUUGGGCAUUUAAGCAGGUGAUUCUUGAAUCUCACCCAUGUUUCAUGGAGCGGUCCCCCCUCCCGUCACUUGAAACCUUGAAUUUCAUCUCUAAGUUU
rfam:Solanum tuberosum cultivar DM 1-3 516 R44 scf00067_166, whole genome shotgun sequence.